CCUACGGGAGGCAGCAGUGAGGAAUAUUGGUCAAUGGACGAGAGUCUGAACCAGCCAAGUAGCGUGAAGGAUGACUGCCCUAUGGGUUGUAAACUUCUUUUAUAUGGGAAUAAAAUGUUCCACGUGUGGGCUUUUGAAUGUACCAUAUGAAUAAGGAUCGGCUAACUCCGUGCCAGCAGCCGCGGUAAUACGGAGGAGCCGAGCGUUAUCCGGAUUUAUUGGGUUUAAAGGGAGCGUAGGUGGAUUGUUAAGUCAGUUGUGAAAGUUUGCGGCUCAACCGUAAAAUUGCAGUUGAAACUGGCAGGCUUGAGUUCAGUAGAGGUGGGCGGAAUUCGUGGUGUAGCGGUGAAAUGCUGAGAUAUCACGAAGAACACCGAUUGCGAAGGCAGUUCACUGGACUGCAACUGACGCUGAGGCUCGAAAGUGUGGGUAUCAAACAGGAUUAGAUACCCCAGUAGUC
rnacentral:rRNA from 1 species